GACGAACGCUGGCGGCGUGCUUAACACAUGCAAGUCGAACGGAAAGGCCCUGCUUUUGUGGGGUGCUCGAGUGGCGAACGGGUGAGUAACACGUGAGUAACCUGCCCUUGACUUUGGGAUACCUUCAGGAACCUGGGGCUAAUACCGGAUAGGAGCUCCUGCUGCAUGGUGGGGGUUGGAAAGUUUGGGCGGUUGGGGAUGGACUCGCGGCUUAUCAGCUUGUUGGUGGGGUAGUGGCUUACCAAGGCUUUGACGGGUAGCCGGCCUGAGAGGGUGACCGGCAACAUUGGGACUGAGAUACGGCCCAGACUCCUACGGGAGGCAGCAGUGGGGAAUAUUGCACAAUGGGCGGAAGCCUGAUGCAGCAACGCCGCGUGCGGGAUGACGGCCUGCGGGUUGUAAACCGCUUUCGCCUGUGACGAAGCGUGAGUGACGGUAAUGGGUAAAGAAGCACCGGCUAACUACGUG
rnacentral:rRNA from 1 species